rnacentral:lncRNA from 1 species
CAGGACUCAAAAGCAGAAGUGACUUGUCCAAGACCAGCAUCUCAAAUAGAGACCACUCAUCAAAAAGAAAAAGGAAGUCCCAUGAACCGGUCAGAAGAACAGUGGUUCUGGGAGACAACAAAAUAAGAACUUCUGAAGUCUACGCAGCUCAGAUUCCUUGUAAAGAGCAGGGAUGGAAUUCCAUUCCCAACG